rnacentral:tRNA from 1 species
GGGCGUAUGGUCUAGAGGUAUGAUACUCGCUUUGGGUGCGAGGGGUCUUCGGUUCGAAUCCGGAUUCGCCCC